GGCUCGGUAGCUUAGUUGGUAAAGCGCUCGUCUAGCAUUAAAGAGUCCUGGGUUCAAAUCCCAGCCGAGCAC
rnacentral:tRNA from 1 species